rnacentral:rRNA from 1 species
GCCUAACACAUGCAAGUCGAACGGGAGUCGCAUUUCGAUGCGAUGAGAGUGGCGCACGGGUGAGUAACACGUAGCGAACCUGUCCUGAAGUGUGGGAUAACGCCUCGAAAGAGGCGCUAAUGCCGCAUAAGCUCACGAUCUGUAGAGGGUAGUGAGAAAAGAUUAAUCGCUUCAGGAGGGGGCUGCGGCCCAUCAGGUAGUUGGUGGGGUAAAGGCCUACCAAGCCGACGACGGGUAGGGGGCCUGAGAGGGUGGCCCCCCACACUGGGACUGAGACACGGCCCAGACUCCUACGGGAGGCAGCAGUGAGGAAUAUUGCACAAUGGGCGCAAGCCUGAUGCAGCGACGCCGCGUGGGUGAAGAAGGGUUUCGGCUCGUAAAGCCCUUUUCUGUGUGACGAGAGAGGACGGUAGCACAGGAAUAAGCGUCGGCUAACUACGUGCCAGCAGCCGCGGUAAAACGUAGGACGCAAGCGUUAUCCGGAAUUACUGGGCGUAAAGGGCGUGCAGGCGGUUGAGUAAGUUAGGCGUGAAAGCUCCCGGCUAAACCGGGAGAGGUCGUCUGAUACUGCUUGACUAGAGUGUGGUAGAGGCGUGUAGAAUUCCGCGUGUAGUGGUGAAAUGCGUAGAGACGCGGAGGAAUACCAGUGGCGAAGGCGGCACGCUGGGGCCAACACUGACGCUAAGACGCGAAAGCAUGGGUAGCGAACGGGAUUAGAAACCCCCGGUAGUCCAUGCCGUAAACGAUGUGUACCUGGGUGUUUGAAUCUACCAUUGCUUAGAUGGAGUGCCUAAGCAAACGCGCUAAGUACACCGCCUGGGGGAGUACGGUCGCAAGGCUAAACUCAAAGGAAUUGACGGGGGCCCGCACACAACCAGGGACGUGUUGUUAUUCGAGGCUACACAAAACCUUACCUGGGUUUGACAUAGCGGUGGUAGGAAACUGAAAAGGGACCGACCUUCGGGAGCCGUUACAGGUGCUGCAUGGCGUCGUCAGCUCGUGUCGUGAGAUGUUCGGUUAAGUCCGAAAACGAGCGCAACCCUCGGGGUAGUUACAAGUNUNUAACCCGACUGCCUGUGACAAACGGGAGGAAGGUGGGGAUGACGUCAAGUCAGCAUGGCCUUUAUAUCCAGGGCUACACACACGCUACAAUGGCCGGUACAGUGGGUCGCAAAGCCGCGAGGCGGAGCCAAUCCUCCAAAGCCGGUCGUAGUUCGGAUUGCUAGGUCUGCAACUGCCUGCAUGAAGUCGGAGUUGCUAGUAACCGCAGGUCAGCUAUAACUGCGGUGAAUACGUUCCCGGGCCUUGUACACACCGCCCGUCUACGUACAUGGAAGCUGGUCACGCCUGAAGUCGGGAAGCCAACCCGCAAGGGAGCUACCUGCCGAGGNGCAGGGCUGGUGACUGGGACGAAGUCGUCAACAAGGUAGCUGUAGCGGAAGCUGCGGCUGGAUC